rnacentral:rRNA from 1 species
UGAGGAAUAUUGCACAAUGGGGGCAACCCUGAUGCAGCAACGCCGCGUGGAGGAUGAAGGCUUUUGAGUUGUAAACUCCUUUUCUGAGGGAAGAGUAAGGACGGUACCUCAGGAAUAAGGCCCGGCUAACUACGUGCCAGCAGCCGCGGUAAUACGUAGGGGGCGAGCGUUGUCCGGAAUUAUUGGGCGUAAAGAGCGUGUAGGCGGCCUGGUAAGUCUGUCGUGAAAUGCUGGGGCUCAACCCUGGACGUGCGAUGGAUACUGCUAGGCUAGAGGAUGGUAGAGGCGAGUGGAAUUCCCGGUGUAGCGGUGAAAUGCGCAGAUAUCGGGAGGAACACCAGUAGCGAAGGCGGCUCGCUGGGCCAUUCCUGACGCUGAGACGCGAAAGCGUGGGGAGCAAACAGGAUUAGAUACCCCGGUAGUCC